GUCGCAGCCUGGCUCCUCCUUAACCCAGCACAAAGAAUGGAGCACGAUGUGCCCCCACGUGGGUGACUGGCGUGGUCACGUGAUCUGAGAUGCGCCUCCAGUGGCGGAGGAAUGCGGGUGAUUGGUCUGUUUGUACCACGUGACCGAAAGCUCAGCCGUCCCAGCCUUCUCCGUGACUCCGGGGCACUGAAGGCCCCAAUCCUCCAUUCUUGGGCUGUUCAUCGCUAUGCCAGAAUCACGACUCCUUCUGCCACCUUGACCGGAGAUCCCAGAGCUGUCUAAGAGAGAACAAAAUCAGUGGAGAAGGCUGGGCUGGACCAUGGGAGAGAGGCAGAGGAACGGAUAGGAAUUUAAGGAGCAGAUGCCGACUCAGUGUUCCUGGCAGUUAAGAGAACAGGUCCUCGAAGGGGCCUUGAUGGGUCGCCGUGACGACAGGGGUUGGAGCUGGCGCCGGCGCGCUACCAGCGGGAAUUCUUUGGUAUCUGUUCUGGUGCGUGCUGCUCCUUAGCAGUCACCGACUCGUUUUCUUCAGCGACCCAGAGUCUGCGUCCCAGCACGGACUGGUGCGGCCUUCACGGCCCCAGUGGUAGCUAGGAGCCAUGCCGGCGGUUUUGGGUUUUGAAGGCAGCGCCAACAAGAUUGGCGUGGGAGUAGUACGGGAUGGCGUGGUGCUGGCGAAUCCGCGGCGGACUUACGUCACGCCUCCAGGCACAGGAUUCCUUCCAGGUGCUACUGCCAGGCACCACCGAGCUGUUAUCCUGGACCUCCUGCAGGAGGCACUAACAGAGGCUGGAUUAACCUCCAAGGAUAUUGAUUGCAUUGCAUACACCAAAGGUCCUGGCAUGGGUGCCCCACUGGUUUCUGUGGCUGUCGUAGCCCGUACUAUGGCUCAGUUGUGGAAUAAGCCAUUGCUGGGCGUUAACCACUGCAUAGCCCACAUUGAGAUGGGCCGCCUCAUCACUGGAGCCACCAGCCCAACUGUGCUAUAUGUCAGUGGAGGAAAUACACAGGUGAUUGCGUAUUCAGAACAUCGUUACCGCAUCUUUGGGGAAACCAUCGAUAUUGCUGUGGGUAAUUGUCUGGAUCGUUUUGCUCGAGUGCUGAAGAUUUCCAAUGACCCAAGUCCAGGCUACAACAUUGAACAGAUGGCAAAGCGAGGCAAGAAGCUAGUUGAGCUGCCAUACACUGUAAAGGGGAUGGACGUCUCAUUCUCAGGGAUCUUGUCUUUCAUUGAGGAUGUAACCCAGCGGAUGCUGGCCACGGGCGAGUGUACUCCUGAGGAUCUGUGUUUCUCCCUGCAGGAAACUGUGUUUGCAAUGCUGGUAGAGAUCACAGAGCGAGCCAUGGCACAUUGUGGCUCCCAGGAGGCCCUCAUCGUGGGAGGUGUGGGGUGUAAUAUGAGGUUACAGGAAAUGAUGGAGACGAUGUGCCAGGAGCGUGGAGCCCGGCUUUUUGCCACAGAUGAGAGAUUCUGCAUUGACAAUGGAGCCAUGAUAGCCCAGGCUGGCUGGGAGAUGUUUCGGGCUGGACACAGGACUCCUCUCAGUGAAUCUGGGGUCACACAGAGGUAUCGGACAGAUGAAGUAGAAGUGACCUGGAGGGACUGACAAGGUCCUGCUCAGGGAUGUAGCCUGAGGGAGCAGGAGUGUUGAGAGAGGUAGAUGCCAAGUUCUCCUUUGGUGGUGGCUUCUGCACCUGCUGUAAGACCACCAAGUCUUCAAAAGCCUUUUGGCUACAGAGAAAGGAAACCCCAGAUACAGAAGGGAACAGAAACCCCUCAGAGAAGCAGAAACCAGGGUUCCAGGUCAUUCUGCACUGAAGGCAGGAGUGGAGGGCCUUACCAGCUGUGGCAGAGAUGCCCAGGUAGGAAAGUAUGGUCCACGUGAUGGCAAGGAUGGUUCCUUUGGGGGACAGCUGCAGCAGGGUCCUGGGAACAGAAGUUGAACCAUCAGUGGAGAGGGAAGAGGGGUGAUAGAGUGCUCCAAGCCUGGACAUCCGUGUCACCUUGAGGUCCCUAGAGAUACUGGUCCUGGUGAGUACCCCAGUGGCUGAGGAGAAGAAGAUGGAAAACAUACCAAGGAAACUGCCCUCUGGACCGUGCCCACCACUGCGGGACAAUAUUAUGGAAGAAAAUGCUUUCUACAGAAAGGAACAGAGAGAAAAGAUGAGGUUUUGAGGAGCACCUCCUGCCUUCCUCUGUUCAGCCCAAAUUAUUACCCCUCUACCCAGUUUAGUGUCAGUGACUUAGGUUAGGCUGGGAAGCAUAAGGGAUUUUUGGCCCAGGGACUUAACAGGGCUCUGAGUGAUCUGAUGGCCAACUUGUGAUUGACAUACAGAAUCAGAAGUUGAGGGUUCUUUUCUGAGGAGGACAGAUUUCUCAGUCAGUUUCCCACUGUCUCACCUUGGUACCCAAAGAAGCCAGUGGCUUGUUGGCUGGGGUUUGUGGGGAGGAAGUCCCCAGCAGGUAGUUGGUAAGAGAAAGGAAGAUCAGGAAGAAGAAGAUAAUCUGGGCCUGUAAUACCUUGGGUGAUGCCACCCCCCUCCACAGAGAGAGGGAGAAAGAGGGAGGGAAGAAGGGACAGAGACAGAGAGGUGAGUGGAAGGGAGGUAGUUCUCCUCCUCACUUUCCUUGUCUCAUCUUCACUCUUCUCUCCAGUCCUCUCGUUCUGUUUCCUACCAACCUCCUCCCAUAAAGGAAUGUGGCUAAAUGGGUGUCCUUUUCCUUCUUGCCUCAAACUACAAAGCAUCCCUUCCCAUGCCAGAGGGGUGAAUAUCAAUGUUGUAAAUACUGGGAGCAAGAAGCAGGGCAUUUCUCAUCUGGUAGUCAUGUCUAGUGCUCAUCCCAACA